ACAAAACGACUCUCGGCAACGGAUAUCUCGGCUCUUGCAUCGAUGAAGAACGUAGCGAAAUGCGAUACGUGGUGUGAAUUGCAGAAUCCCGUGAACCAUCGAGUUUUUGAACGCAAGUUGCGCCCAAAGCCUUUUGGUUGAGGGCACGUCUGCCUGGGU
rnacentral:rRNA from 1 species